GAGGUGCAGCCUUUGUGCCAGUGCCUGAGUGCCCCAGACGCCGAGGCUCUGCUCCAGGCUUCCUCCAGACUCAGAAAGAUCGUCUGCAAACACAUCCCGCCAGCGCAGGCCACGGACUUCCUCUCUGCCGCCCUGGACGGGAUGCUGUCGGCCAGGUCCGCGUGUGCUCAGGCAGCGGGCGAGUGGCUGCUCACCUUCCUGGAGACGUGCGGGGGACAGCUAUUCACGGAGGUGCCAGAAAUCCUGAGCAUCAUCUACAUCCGGAUGCCGACCAUGCAGCAGGACACCCUCC